UACGGGGGGGGCAAGCGUUGUUCGGAAUUACUGGGCGUAAAGGGCUCGUAGGCGGCCAACUAAGUCGGACGUGAAAUCCCCAGGCUCAACCUGGGAACUGCGUCCGAUACUGGAUGGCUUGAAUCCGGGAGAGGGAUGCAGAAUUCCAGGUGUAGCGGUGAAAUGCGUAGAUAUCUGGAGGAAUACCGGUGGCGAAGGCGGCAUCCUGGACCGACAUUGACGCUGAUGAGCGAAAGCCAGGGGAGCAAACGGG
rnacentral:rRNA from 1 species